ACCGAACGCUGGCGGCAGGCUUAACACAUGCAAGUCGAACGCCCCGCAAGGGGAGUGGCAGACGGGUGAGUAACGCGUGGGAACAUACCCUUUCCUGCGGAAUAGCUCCGGGAAACUGGAAUUAAUACCGCAUACGCCCUACGGGGGAAAGAUUUAUCGGGGAAGGAUUGGCCCGCGUUGGAGUAGCUAGUUGGUGGGGUAAAGGCCUACCAAGGCGACGAUCCAUAGCUGGUCUGAGAGUAUGAUCAGCCACAUUGGGACUGAGACACGGCCCAAACUCCUACGGGAGGCAGCAGUGGGGAAUAUUGGACAAUGGGCGCAAGCCUGAUCCAGCCAUGCCGCGUGAGUGAUGGAGGCCUUAGGGUUGUAAAGCUCUUUCACCGAUGAAGAUAAUGACGGUAGUCGGAGAAGAAGCCCCGGCUAACUUCGUGCCAGCAGCCGCCGUAACAC
rnacentral:rRNA from 1 species